GGAGGGAGGGAGGGAGGAAGGAAAAGAAAGGAAAGAAAAGGAAAAAAGAGAUGAAAGAAAGGAAAGGAAAGAAAGGAAAGGAAGAAAGAAAGGAAGAAAGGAAGAAAUUAGGCUGGGCGCCGUGGCUCACGCCUGUAAUCCCAGCACUUGUGGGAGGCUGAGGCGGGCAGAUCACGAGGUCAGGAGAUUGAGACCAUCCUGGCUAAUGCGGUGAAACCUCAUCUCUACUAAAUACACACACACACACAAAUUAGCUGGCCAUGGUGGCGGACGCCUGUAGUCCCAGCUACUUGAGAGGCUGAGGCAGGAGAAUGGCAUGAACCCAAAAGGCGGAGCUUGCAGUGAGCCAAGAUUGCGCCACUGCACUCCAGCCUGGGCGACAGAGCGAGACUCCAUGUCAAAAAAAAAAGAAAUUAGCCGGGGGUGGUGGUGGGCGCCUGUAGUCCCAGCUACUCAGGAGGCUGAGGCAGGAGAAUCACUUGAACCCCAGAGAUGGAAGUUGCAGGGAACCACAAUCACACCACUGCACUCCAGACUGGGUGACAGAGGGAGACUCUGUCUUGGAAAAAAAAAAAAAUACUAUAGAGACUGGGGUCUCCCUAUGUUGCCCAGGCUGGCCUCAAACUCCUGGACUCAAGUGAUCCUCCCACCUCAGCUUCCCAAAGUGAUGGGAUUACAGGGCUGAGCCACAGAGCCCAGCCCCUCUGCCACUUUUGAAUACAGGAAGUAUAGGGUUUGCCACUAGCAGAGGCCACUCACGGGGAGUCACAUCAUCCAUUCUGCCUGGAUGUCAGGCUGCAGAAACCUUCCACCUUCAAAGGCCUGUCAGAGUCAAGAGGUGUUUCUUCAAGAGUCAUCAGGGGCAGCUGAGAGACACGGGUCCUAUGCAUUCUCCCUUACACGUAUCCCAUGAGAUGAGGAAUGUUGAGGUUCCCAUUGUAAAGAUGGAGAAACUGAGGCGCAGAGAAGUUUAAGCCGCAGCUCAAGGUCAGCAGCUAUUGAGUAGAGGAGCUGGGAUCACGUCUAUCCAGAAAUGCCACUCUCAGUACCCAUGCCCCUGUGGAGCCUGGGAGUAAGCAAUAGGAGAGAAACCCACCUGGGCAACAUAGCAAGACCCCAUCUCUACAAAAGUAAAAAUGUAGCCAAGUGUGGUGGCACACACCUAUAGUUCCAGCUACUAGGGAGACUGAGAUGGGAGGAUAGAUUGUGCCCAGGAGGUCAAGGCUGCGGUGAGCCAUGAUUGCACCACCGCACUCCAGCUUGGGUAACAGAGUGAGACCUUGUCUCAAGAAAAGAGAAAUGGCCAGGCAUGGUGGCUCACACCUGUAAUCCCAGCACUUUGGGAGGUCAAUGUGAGCAGAUCGCUUGAGGUCAGCUGUUCCAGACCAGCCUGACCAACACAGUAAAACCUCAUAUCUACUAAAAAUACAAAAAUUAGGCCAGCAUGUUGGCUCAUGCCUGUAAUCCCAGAACUUUGGGAGACCGAGGCGGGUGGAUCACUUGAGGCCAGGAGUUCAAGAUCAGCCUGGCCAACGUGGUGAAACCCCAUCUCUACUAAAAAUACAGAAAUAAGGACCGGGCACGGUGGCUCACACCUGUAAUCCCAACACUUUGGGAGGCCGAGGUGGGCGGAUCACUUGAGGUCAGGAGUUCGAGACCAGCCUGACCAACAUGGUGAAACCCCAUCUCUACCAAAAAUACAAAAAUUAGCCGAGCGUGGUGGUGGGCGCCUGUAAUCCCAGCUACUAGGGAGGCUGAGGCAGGAGAAUCGCUUGAACCCAGGAGGCAGAGGUUGCAGUGAGCUGAGACUGCACCAUCACACUCCAGCCUGGGCAACAAGAAUGAAACUCCAUCUCAAAAACAAACAAACAAAAAAUUUAGCUGGGCGUGGUGGUGGGCACUUGUAGUCCCAGCUACUUGGGAGGCUGAGUCACGAGAAUUGCUUGAACCUGGGAGAUGGAGGUUGCAGUGGGCCGACAUCGCUCCACUGCACUCCAGCCUGGCGACAGAGUGAGACUCCGUCUCAAAAAAAAAAAAAAAAAAAAAAAAACCAAAAACUACAAAAAUUAGCUGGGUGUAGUGGUUCAUGCUUGUAAUCCCAGCUACUCAGGAGGCUGAGGCAGGAGAAUCACUUGAACCCGGGAGGUGGAGGUUGCAGUGAGCUGCCGAGAUCGCACCACUGCACUCCAGCCUGGGUCACAGAGUGAGACCCGGUCUCAAAAAAUAAUAAUAAUAAUAAAAGAAGAGAAGGAUAGGCACGGAUCCUGGACUUAGUGCUGUGGUUCCCAGGGCCCUCAGCUCCUUCCUCAGUAGCCCAAGAUGAUGUAAGCUCAGCCCAGAAAUGUUAGGAUUGAUGAUACCCAAGUCAGAAGCAGGUGGGGUAGGCUCCAUCGGGCCCCUCUAACCCUUGCGUGAUGCAGUCCCCAGGCCUGCCUGGGCUCAGAGGACUGGGAUUUUGCAGGGUGAGUGGCCCUGUCAUCAGUGACAAUUGGUCUAGUUGGACCCAAGGCCAGGAUGGAUCAUCCUCAGGCCCCUGGUCACACACAGACUCCCUGAAAUGAGAUCUGGGGCUGCUUUUGGGGCAGCUGAGAAGGACGGCAGAGAGGACAAACGGCAUUUGCUUUCUGGCUGGAUCGGGUUCUGUGGCUGGCGCCAGAGGAGCCUGGGCGAGACCUGGCAGAUGAUCCGUGUGCCGGGAGCCAGGAGAUGCAGGCAGGUGCCUUAGCAUCAGAGACCUAGUUUUUCCAAGGCAGCUGAAGAGUUUGGGGAAAGGGCGUACGUUUUGCAUCAUCCCCGCUCACCUCCCCUUCCAGGAGAACGCACUGUCCCCCGUCUCAGAUUCCCAGGGCCAGGCCAGGUCUCCGCCCCGACAAAGACUCUCUUCUUGGCCAAACUUGAGUCAGAGUCCUCUGAAAUCUCUUCUGCAUUGGGCCGUGACCUUGGCUCCCAUCCUGUCUUUGAUCUGUGUCGCCCAGUUUUAGCAAGAAUCCUGCUAAGUCAGUUUCUUGAUAGCUGAUCGCCCUGGCCUGGCUUCAGCAAGGAUCCUAUUAAGAGAGUUUAAGGUGACUCCCCAAGCCUUUAUAAUUUUCUAUCCACUGACCCCCCCUUGCCCUGCUCCGUGGCUAUAAAUCCCCCCUUGGUGACAACUUCGUGGAUUCCGAGUUGAGCUCAAUCUUCCAUGCAGUAGUCUUGAAUAAAGCCUUGUUUACUUUUAACAAUCAUCUGAAUUAUAUAUGUGUGUGGAUUUUUCUUUUUUCUUUUUUUUUUUUUAAGAGGGAGUCUCACUCUGUUGCCCAGGCUGGAGUGCAGUGAUGUGAUCUCAGCUUACUGCAACCUCUGCCUCCCAGGUUCAAGCAAUUCUCCUGCCUCAGCCUCCCGAGUAGCUGGGACUACGGGCACCCACGACCAUGCCCGGCUAAUUUUUUUUUUUUUUUUUUUUUGUAUAUUUAGUAGAGAUGGGAUUUCACCAUGUUGGCCAGGCUGGUCUUGAACUCCUGACCUCGUGAUCCGCCCACCUUGGCCUCUCAAAGUGCUGGGAUUACGGGCGUGAGCCACCAUGCCCGAUCAUGUGUGUUUUUUUCGUAGAGAUGGUGUUUCACUGCUGCCCAGGCUGCCCUUAAACUCCUGAGCUCAACAGAUCCUCCCAGCUUGGCCUCCCAAAGUGCUGGGAUUACAGGUGUGAGCCACCGCUGCACCCAGUCCCAAAUUUUUUUUUUCUUUUUUUUUGAGACAGGGUCUUGCUCUGUCACCCAGCCAGGAGUGCAGUUAUGCAAUCAUAGCUCACUGCAGCCUUCACCUCCCAGACUCAGGCGAUCCUCCCACCUCAGCCUCUCGAGUAGCAGGGACUACACAGGCAGGUAUCACUAUGCCCGGCUAAUUUUUAAUUUGUACAGACAGGGCCUUGCUGUGUUGCCCAGGCUGGUCUCAAACUCCCGGGGGCUCAAGUGAUCCUCUCGCCUCAGCCUCCGAUAGUGCUGGCAUUACAGGCGUGAGCCACCAUGGCUGGCCAACUUUAAUUAUUUAAAAGCUUGGAUGUUUCUUUAGACAACACCGUCCUCACUGUGAGAAAAUGACCCUCCCAUUAGGCCAGUUUCUGUACCACUACAACUAACAAAGUCUAUUGCCGCUAAGAAAUAAGCCUUAGCUUUGCUAUUUAUUUAUUCAUUUACUUAGAGAUAGGGUUUUGCUCUGCACCCAGGCUGUUUUUUUUUUUUUUUUUUUGCAGACAGAGUUUCGCUCUUGUUGCCAAGGCUGGAGUGCAAUGGUGCGAUCUUGGCUCACCACAACCUCUGCCUCCUGGGUUCAAGCGAUUCUCCUGCCUCAGCCUCCUGAAUAGCUGGGAUUACAGGCAUGCGCCACCACGCCCCGCUAAUUUUGCAUUUUUAGUAGAGACGGGGGUUUCUCCAUGUUGGUCAGGCUGGUCUUGAACUCCCGACCUCAGGUGAUCCGUCCGCCUCGGCCUCCCAAAGUGCUGGGAUUACAGGCGUGAGACACCGUGCCCUGCCUUACUUAUUUAUUUAUUUAGAGACAGGGUCUCACUCUGUCACACAGGCUGGAGUGCAGUGGCGCAAUCAUAGCAAACUGCAGCCUCGACCUCCUGGCCUCAAGCGAUCCUCGUGCCUCAGCCCCCAAAAGUGCUGGGAUUACAGAUGUGAGACUCCAAGUAUGACAGCCUUAGUUCUUCUUUUUCUUUUUGAGAUGGAGUUUCACUCUUGUUGCCAAAGCUGGAGUGCAAUGGUGCAAUCUUGGCUCACUGCAACCUUGACCUCCCGGGUUCAAGCGAUUCUCCUGCCUCAGCCUCCCAAGCAGCUAGGAUUACAGGCGUGUGCCACCACACGCAGCUAAUUUUUAUAUUUUUAGUAGAAACAGGGUUUCACUACGUUGGCCAGGCUGGUCUCGAACUCCUGACCUCAGGUGAUCUGCCUGCCUCGGCCUCCCAAAGUGCUGGGAUUACAGGUAUCAGCCAUCAUGCCUGGCCAGCUUUUCUAAACCACAGAGAUCUGGGGAUGUUUCCAACUGCAGCAGAAUGUGGGCCACCACAAGACUACAACAGCCCAGAGGAGAAACAGCAGCAUAGCAGCCAUCGUACACGUCCAUGGGCAUGCACUUAUGGGAGAAGGAAGGUGUGAGUUUAGGGUGGUGAAUUUCUUCUCUUUUUUUUUUUUUUUUUUUUGAAAUGGAGUUUCACUCUUGUUGCACAGCCUGGAGUGCAGUGGCACAAUCUCAGCUCACUGCAACCUCCACCCACCAGGGUUCAAGCGAUUCUGCUGCCUCAGUGUCCCAAGUAGCUGGGAUAACAGGCACCUGCCACCAAGCCUGGCUAAUUCUGUAUUUUUGGUAGAGAUGGGGUUUCACUAUGUUGGCCAGGCUGGUCUCGAACUCCUGACCUCAGGUGAUCCACCCACCUCGGCCUCCCAAAGUGCUGGGAUUACAAGCAUGAGCCACUGUGCCUGGCCAUGUUCUUGUGGUUUUUGUUGGUGAUUUUGCCAUUGAAAUUCCCCCAGACACCGAAAUGCUGUCCAGGCUUCCUAAGUACCAAAAGGCUGCAAUGGCUGGGCUCGGCGGCUCAUGCCUGUAAUCCCAGCACAUUGGGAGCCGAGGCAGGAGGACUGCCCAAGGCCAGGAGUUCAAGACCAGCCUGGGCAAUAUAGUGAGACCCCCAUCAGUACAAAAAAAAUUUUAAAUUAGCCCAGUGUAGCCUGUAGUCCCAGCUACUCAGGAGGCUGAGAUUGGAGGAUCACCUGAGCCCGGGAGGUCAAGGCUGCAGUGAGCUAUGAUCAUGCCAAAAAUAAAAUACUUAAAAAAAAAAAAGUCUGUGAUGCACCUCAUGGAGAAAAUCCAUUAUAGAGAAGCUUUAUGCAGACGUGAGUUUCGGUGCUGUUGGCUGUGAGUUCAAUGUAAAUGAAUCCACCAUAGAUAUUAAAUAAGGUGUUUUUAAACAAAUGUACAUAAAACAAGGUUGUAUGAAUUGGUGGAUGAAAAUGGUGUGGCCUGGGCCGGGCGCAGUGGCUCACACCUGUAAUCCUAGCACUUUGGGAGGCCAAGGCGGGGGAUCACUUGAGGUCAGGACUUUGAGACCAGCCUGGCCAACAAGGUGAAACGCUGUCUCUACUAAAAAUACAAAAUACAAAUUAGCUGGUUAUGGUGGCCCAAGCCUGUAGUCCCAGCUACUCAGCAGCAAGGGGUGCCGGCUGAGGCAGGAGAAUCACUUGAAUCUGGGAGGCAGAGGUUGCAGUGAGUCGAGAUCAUGCCACUUCACCCAGCCUGGGUGACAGCAUGAGGCGCUGUCUCAAAAAAAAAAAGAAAGAAAAAAAAAAAAGGCCUGGGCGCUGUGGCUUACACCUGUAAUCCCAGCACUUUGGGAGGCCGAGGAGGGUGGAGCACAAGCUCAGGAGAUCGAGACCAUCCUGGCUAGCACGGUGAAACUCUGUCUCUACCACAAAUAUAAAAAAUUAGCCGGGCGUGGUGGUGGGUGCCUGUAGUCCCAGCUACUCAGGAGGCUGAGGCCAGAGAACGGCGUGAACCUGGGAGGUGGAGCUUGCAGUGAGCCGAGAUCACGCCACUGCACUCCAGCCUGGGUGACAGAGCAAGACUCUGUCUCAAAAAAAAAAAAAGAAAAGAAAAGAAAAGAAAAAAGACAGCAAUUGCUGGGUUUCAGUCCCAGUUGUGGCCUUAGCAUCCCCAUCUCAGUUUCUUUAUCUGGAAAAUGGCAACAAAACCUGAGCUUCCCAGUGGGUUGUAGGGAGACUGAAUGAGGUAAUAAUGGUGUAUCGCGUGUUGGGGAUGUGGCCACUGCAGUAGAAACAGUACUUGUUUUAUUAUUAUGCCCAAUGAUGAAGGGCCGGGACAAGGUCUUCUCUAUGAUCUAGAAUCCAGACUCACUCACUCCCUGAGCCUGUUUCCCACUCUGUAGAAUGGAAGACCCAAGCCAGGCGCGAUGGUUCACGCCCAUAAUCCCAGCACUUUGGGAGGCCGAGGCGGGCGGAUCACCUGAGGUCAGGAGUUCAAGACCAGCCUGGCCAACACAGUGAAACCCCGUCUAUAGAAAAUACAAAAAAUUAGCCGGGCGUAGUGGCGGACGCCUGUAAUCCCAACCACUCGGGAGGCUGAGGCAGGAGAAUCGCUUGAACCCCAGAGGCGGAGGUUGCAGUGAGCCGAGAUCGUGCCACCGUACCCCAGCCUGGGACACAGAGGGAGACCCCCGUCUCAGAAAAAAACAAACAAACAACAACAACAACAACAACAACAAACGGGAGACCCAGCAGCACCGCCUCCCUGCCAUGAUUUCACCCACUUGCCCGGUGCAAGAGUGCCUAGUGUGGACAGGCGGCAGGAUCAGGACUCCAGAGGGCGAG
rnacentral:lncRNA from 10 species